AAUAGAAAUAGAAACAGAAAGCCAAACGAAACAGAGAGCUGGGGAAGGAAAGAAAAGAAAGAAAGGGAGAAAAGGAAAAAUUAGGAUUUCAAGGUUUGGAAGUUUAAUAGUCUCAGGUACGGGUAUGGGGUAUUACACCAAUAUUAUGGAAGAAGUCACCCUGGUGAAUGUAGAGGUAAAUUAGGGGCUUGUUAUAAAUGUGGGGCCACUGACCACUUUAUUCGAGAUUGUCCCCACCUACGAAUAGAAGAAGUGGAACAGAAAGAGAAACAGAAAACUCCUCAAAAAGGAAAUGUUCUAGUCGGAGUAGUGCUGCUACAGGGGCAACUCGUUCGGGUGUGAAAGAUACUUCUAGUUGAUCAAAAGCUAGGGCCCCUGCUCGUAUCUAUGCCAUUCGAGCAAGAGAAGAAGCGACAGCUCCGAAAAUAAUUGCUGGUACUUUCUAUCUUUAUGAUGUUCCUGUAUGCGCUUUAAUAGACCCUGUAUGUACACAUUCAUAUAUUUGCACUGCAUUAGCAUCUGAAAAGAAUUUAUUUGUUGAGCCUAAUAAUUAUGAUGUACAAGUUAUAAAUCUGUUAGGCCAAAGUGUGAUAAUUAAUUUAA